rnacentral:snRNA from 1 species
AGAGGAUCGCUUGAGCCUGGGAGGAGGAAGGUGUAGUGAGCUGAGAUCAUGCCACUGCACUCCAGCACUCCAUCCUGGGCGACAGAG